rnacentral:misc_RNA from 1 species
UACGGGGGGGGCAAGCGUUGUUCGGAAUUACUGGGCGUAAAGGGCGCGCAGGCGGCGCAAGAAGUCAUGGGUGAAAGCCCCCGGCUCAACCGGGGAAUGGCCUGUGAAACCAUUGUGCUGGAGUGCUGGAGGGGGAAGCGGAAUUCCCAGUGUAGCGGUGAAAUGCGUAGAUAUUGGGAGGAACACCAGAGGCGAAGGCGGCUUCCUGGACAGACACUGACGCUGAGGCGCGAAAGCCAGGGGAGCAAACGGG